AACUUAGAUAGAGUCUGGUUACUGUAGAAGUCUUACUGUUGGGGAAGCUCGGCCAUUGAUGAAGUCCGAAGGAAGUUCGGAGUAGAGUCGAUCGUGGCUGAAAGAAGUUUGGAAGAGAUUCAGAGAAUAGUCGAUCACUGCAGAAAAUCAACUGAUAUUGAAGCUCAAAGAGUAUUUGGAAUAGCCUGAUACGUGAAUGGAGGAGCCCAUUAUCGGAGAAGUCCAGAUGGUAAUAUGAAAGCUCGGACGAUCGAGAGAGUUCAGAAAGAUGCCACACA
rnacentral:lncRNA from 1 species